rnacentral:lncRNA from 1 species
CUGGCGGAUCUGCUACCUUUUGCGGUUCCCACCAAGAGUGACAAAACCUUGCUAGUGUGGGAGCUGAGCUCUGGACCCACGGCCGACGCUUUGCAUGUGAGCCUGUUCACAGCAUUUUCCCAGUUUGACCUUUUGUAUUCAGUCCGGGUCUUCCCAAAUGCUGCAGUGGCCCAUUCUGGUUUCUAUGGCGUCAUUAAGUUUUAUUCAGCAAUGGCUGUCCACGGAGCCCAAAAGGCAUGCCACCGGAAGCAGCUUUUUCAGACAUCUCCUGUCAAGGUG